CUUUUUGCGGGAAAUUUAAUCGGCAUAAUGAUCACACACCUGAAUUUGCGACCAUUUUUUUUACAAGAAAGUGCGAUCAUUAUGCGAGUAAAUACAGUACUCUUGUGGCACCAAGCUCACUUGUUUUAUUGCAGGUGUGGCUGGGCCUGCAGAACAGCUUUAAGCAGACUGCAGUGUUGCUGAUCAGUGCUGAUCUCCACGUCCGAGCUGGUCCCACAACAUCCAGGCACCACUGUGCUUUCACAAGAUGCAUACGAGCACUGUUUCAAAAACACCGAGCACUGUGGAUACAGAGGCAAGGAGGCUGAAGGACCUGAACAAGCACAUGGCCACCAUGCUUCGGGAUGCAAAAUAAAGAUGGUUUGUGUUAA